UGACCAUGUGUUUAACGGCCGCGGUAUUUUGACCGUGCAAAGGUAGCGCAAUCACUUGUCUUCUAAAUAAAGACCCGUAUGAACGGUAAAACGAGGGCUUAACUGUCUCCUUUUUCAUGUCAAUGAAAUUGAUCUUCCCGUGCAGAAGCGGGAAUCUCCCCAUAAGACGAGAAGACCCUAUGGAGCUUUAGACACCUGAACAGACCACGUCAAAGCCCCCUGAUAAAGGCCCAAACUAAGUGAACCCUGUCCCAGUGUCUUUGGUUGGGGCGACCACGGGGAACUACACAACCCCCAUGUGGAAUGGAAGCAUUUUGCUGCCACAACUAAGAGCUCCCGCUCUAAUAAACAGAAUUUCUGACCAAUACAGAUCCGGCAAAGCCGAUCAACGAACCUAGUUACCCUAGGGAUAACAGCGCUAUCCUCUUUCAGAGCCCCCAUCGACAAGAGGGUUUACGACCUCGAUGU
rnacentral:rRNA from 1 species